UGUGACGAAGUGCCUUUCGCCACUUGGUCCUGGAGAGGCCUGCUUGCCAGCCUCCUCCCCUGUGACUAUGACUCUUUGAUGUAUUUGGCUUUAAAGCCCCUAUUCUACCUUCAGACAGACUAUUUAUGUAGGUUGCUUUAUUUCUCUUAUGUUUUAGUUAUCCUGUACCCAUUAUAGGUGCAGGGUGUGUGUAAUGUAAUUGUUUAUAGUGUGUGUGUGUG
rnacentral:lncRNA from 1 species